GGGAAUGUAGCUUAGUGGGUAAAAGUGCUUGCCUAGCAUGCAUGAAGCCCUGGGUUUGAUUCCUCAGUACCA
rnacentral:tRNA from 1 species